rnacentral:tRNA from 1 species
GUCCCCAUCGUCUAGAGGCCUAGGACAUCGCCCUUUCACGGCGGUAACGGGGGUUCGAAUCCCCCUGGGGACGCC